rnacentral:pre_miRNA from 1 species
UUUUUAUAAUAAGUAUAUCCCGUGCAAUAUUUGGGAUAUACUUAUACUAAAA